AGCACACACAACUAUGAAAAUUACCAAGCAUUCUCUCACCCUCUCUCUCUCUCUCUCUCACACUCUCUCUCUCACACUCUCUCUCUCUUUCUCUGUACAUGUUUCAGCCACUUGUCUCUUACAACCCCAGACUUACACACACACUCUUUCUCUCUCUCUCUCUAACACACACACACACACACACACAACCCUGGGCUCAUUUGGACAUUGCAGAAACUUUCAUCAGCAAAGAGAUUGUGUUCGUCAAGAUGCAGGUGUUGCUUGCGGAGAUAAAAGCUUUUCCUGGACUUCUGGUGCUACUGAUUGCGUCAACUUAUGGUCUGGACUCCACCUGUGAUGUUAGUCAGGAUGCUGCAUGUUAUGGGGCCCUGGGAGGACCUGUGUAUCUGCAGCUGAUGAGGGACACCAGUGGGCAUACACUGAGCUUUAAAAAGGAAAAUAAAGUCAUUUUUAGACUCAGACAAUCCAAGACAGUGUUCCUUGAUAAGUUCAACACCCCAUCAUUCCAUCAGAGGUGGCAGUUUGUUCCUGAUAACGGGACCCUGGUUAUUAACCCUGCAGAGAGGAGAGAUGCAGGAACAUACAGAGUGGAAAUCCAUGAGGAUUCAACAGGAAAGAGUGUGGGAGAGCACACAGUACAGCUGAUCAUUGAAGAUCCUGUGUCUGUUGUGAAUCUGUCAAUCAGCUGCUCAGCCUAUGGGGAGAGGAGGGUGAGUUGCUCAUCCAAUGGGGACAGUCCUCAAUACAGCUGGUCUGUGGAUGGGAGGCCUCUGAGUGAAAUCUUAACCAAUCAGAGCACAGGAAGUCAAACCAAGACCAAUAAGACAUCUCCAAACACACAAGAAGCAUCUCCCAGUGGUUCAGCUGAAAGUCCGAAGUCUAGUCCUGAUCUUAACACUGAUCUCAGUUCACCAAACCUCACACUCCCAGAGGGCAUUCAGGGACAUCUCACCUGCUCAGCCAGAAACAGCAUCAGCAGCGCCAACGAAACCCAACUGCUACCCUCCUGCAUAA
ensembl:lncRNA